rnacentral:lncRNA from 1 species
UAGUGUACACCCUCUGUGAUGUUGGGACUAAUAUCAUCCUCCCGUCCCCUGGAUAUUAAAAACCGUGUCACAAGGGGCGUGUACACACACUUCGAUAUUGGUAUUAAUACCAUCCUCUCCCUCUUUGGAUAUUCGGUGCAAUAUGUCAGGUGAGGUAUACACCACCUGCAAUAUUGGAAGUAAUAUUAUUUUAUCCCCCCCGGAUAUUAGAAACAAUAUCACAGGGGGUGUGAACAAACCCUGCAGUAUUUGGAGUAAUAUCAUAGUCUCCCCUCAUGAAUAUUAAGAACAAUAUCGUAGGGGGGACGUAAAUACCGGCCUAACAACUUUUCCAGUGACUCUGACCUAGAUGGGUGGUUUCAUGCACAGCCAGUACAACUGCAGCUCCUAGCAGCUGUGGCACAGCCACUCUCCCACCUGGUAACCGAAUCCAUCCUUCCUCCAUCACUUGUCCUUCCCUCUACCUGGAGAAAUUCCUUUUCUUCUUUAGAAUAAGUAGGUACAAGAUCAAGUGCUUGAGGGAGCAGAGGGGCUGUGACUGAUGCCCGGAAGGGGGCAGAUCCUGGUUUUCGAGCCUCUGAGUCAGCGUGGGAAUUCCCCAAACCCACCAAGGUGGAAGCUCGCUGGUGUC